ACUAAGCCAUUAGGUGGAUGACUAGGCUCAAAUAGCGAUGAAGAGCGUGGCAAGCAGCGAUAUGCUUUGGGUAGGCGCAUGCAGCCUUUGAACCAGAGAUGCUUGAAUGAGACUUCUUAUCCUUUUAGGAUGAUCAGUGAUGAUAGCCGACGCAGGGAAUUGAAGCGUCUUAGUACCUGCAGGAAAAGAAAUCAAUAGAGAUGCCGUUAUUAUCAGCGAGAGAAAGCGGUAAAGGGCAAACCGAAUCCUUCAUAGAAAUGUGAAAGGAGAUGUGGGGUUAUAGGACCUACGUUUAGUCCUCGUGUUCUUUGUUAAAGUUUCUGGAAAGUAAUGCCAUAGAGGGUGAUAGUCCCGUAGAUAAAGAAUACAAGAUGAGUAGGUAUCCUGAGUAGGGUUUGUUGGAAAUCAAGCCUGAAUUUGGGAGGCACUAACUUCCAACCCUAAAUAUUUAUUUGAGUCCGAUAGAUUACUAGUACCGUGAGGGAAAGUUGAAAAGAACUCAUGACAGAGAGUUAAAAGCUCCUGAAACCUAAUGGUCACUGUAUGUUACGGCUCUAUGGAGUUGUACUGUACGUUUCGAAUAACGGGCCAGGGAGUGUAUUUUAGUGGCGAGGUUAAGAUUGUUAAGAUCGCAACCGAAGGGAAACCAAUAGCUCGCAGUUUACGAGGAGCGAUGUAUGAAAAUGCGUUAAGUCACUAAGAUACGACCCGAAACCGGGUGAUCUAACCGUGGGCAAGAUGAAGCAGGGUUAAAACCUUGUGGAGGUCUGAAGAGGUUCUAUGUGCAAGUGUUCUUCUGACUUGCGGUUAGGGGUGAAAGGCCAAUCGAACCCGGUGAUAGCUGGUUCCUACCGAAAUGGGCCGCAGUCCAGUCUUUGGGGAGAUUACUGAAGAGGUAGAGCUACGGAUUAGAGGUUUAGGUUUCGAAAGGAGUCGAUCUCUUGUCCAACUCAAAAUGCUUCAGUGUCGUAGAACCAAGGAGACGGCGUUACUGGGGUAAACCUGUAAUGCUAAAGGGGAACAACCCAAGCCUAUAGUUAAGGUCCCUAAAUCUUAGUUAAGUGUUAAAGGGUGAAGGAUGUAUAUUACCUAAAACAGUGGGGAGGUAGGCUUAGAAGCAGCCAUCCUUUAAAGAAAGCGUAACAGCUCACCUAUCUAGGUAAUGUGCUCCUAAAAUGGACGGGGCUAAAUUAAGUACCGAUACUAUAGACUACCUUAUGUAAGGUAUGUGAUAGGUAGGUGUUCCACAUAGGCAGAAGCUUCCGUGUAAAUGGGGGUGGACUGUGUGGAAAUAAAAAUCCUGGUGAUAGUAGGAUCGAUAUAGAGUGAGACUCUCUAAUACCGAAAGGGCAAGGGUUUCUUGGCCAUGUAAAUCAGCUAAGAGUUAGUUGGUCCUAACUUAUGAAUCUUAACUGAUUCUAGGGAAAGGGAAAAAGGUUAAUAUUCCUUUACCAUUCAAAUACACGUGGCAACACAAGGUAUAGUUUAGACAUUUCUGGCUAGACUAGCACUUACUGUCGUGAGUGUUAAUCAGGAUACAUCUUGGAAGUAAUGUAAUGUUGUGAACAAGAUGAAAUUGAGAAUAGCAGGUUCUGCUUGUCUAGUUGAUGCCUGGAGUCAGUGAAAAUAGACUAUACAUGAAUUUUGAAUGACCAUACCAAGAACCAACACUGGUGCCCCUAGGUGAGAAGCCUAAGGUAUGAGGGAGUAAUCUAGCUAAGGGAACUCGGCAAAUUGGCCCCGUGUCUUCGGUGGAAGGGGUCCCUGCAAUUGUGUGCUUAAGUAUGCAAUUACAGGGUGCAAUUACUAGGGGUGUCCGACUGUUUAACAAAAACGUAACCUCUCGCAAGUCUGUGAAGAUGUGUACGCGAGGUGACGUCUGCCCAGUGCCAGUAAUUCAAACCUCUUUUCAAGGAGGCUAAGAUCUGGUAAACGGCGGGAAUAACUAUGAUUCUCUUAAGGUAGCGAAAUACCUUGUCGUUUUAUUGACGACGCGCAUGAAUGACGUAACGAGAUACCCACUGUCCCUAGCUAGAAUCCCCCGAAAACACUCUUCUGGUGUAAAGGCCAGAGUCCUCUAGUGGGAAAUAAAGACCCCGUGAAGCUUUACUGUAGCUUAUCGUUGUAAUGUGGGGCUGGAUGUGCAGCGUAGGUAGUAGUUGUUUGAUGAUUCAGAUGCAAGUUUGAGUCUAGACAAAGUUGAGACACUACCCUUUUGGUUCUACGUUGCUAACUUCAGUAAAAUGAAGAACAGCGUUAUGCAGACAGUUUGGCUGGGGCGGCACCCUGCUGAAAGUGUAUCAGUAGGGCCCAAAGGUCAGCUCAGGAGGUUUAGAAAUCCUCUGUAGAGUGCAAGAGCAAAAGCUGGCUUGACUGUGUUCUGAAAAGUAAAGAACGCAGGAAGGAAACUUGGGUCUAGCGAACCCUUAUGCCCUUAUUUGUGGGGGCUAAGUAUGACAGAAAAGCUACUCCGGGGAUAACAGAGUUGUCGCGCCUAAGAGCUCAAAUCGACGGCGCGGUUUGCUACAUCGACGUCGGCUCUUCCUAACCUGGCUGUGCAGAAGCAGCCAAGGGUGGGGGUGUUCACCCAUUAAAAGGGAUCGUGAGCUGGGUUCAAAACGUCGCGAGACAGUUUGUUCACUAUCUGCUAGAGGUGUUGAUGUCUGAGAGGAAGGAUCAUUUAGUACGAAAGGAACGGUGAUUCGAGGCCACUGGUCAAUCGGUUGUCUGACAAGGCAGGCCGAGCAGCUACGCCUCAAGGGAUAACGGCUGAAAGCAUCUAAGCCGGAAACUCACCUUAAAAAGAGACAUCGUUUAGAGCACUUCUAAAAGAGGAGAUUGAUAGGAUUGGGAUGUAAGCACCAAGGCAACGAGGUGUUAAGUCUGCAAUUACUAACCGCUCGAGGGAUAGAA
rnacentral:rRNA from 1 species